GCCGGCAUCUCCACAAGGCAGCGUACACGGUGAUGUCCUUCCCUUGUGUUUGUUUUUUCUUUUUGUUUCUCUUUGUCUUGUGUUUUUGUUAGUUUUUUGUGUGCUUCCCUUUUUUAUGCUUUUUCUUGUUUGCUUGAGGGCAAGCAACGUCUAAGUGUGAGGAGGGGGAUGUGUCUUUGUUUUUGUGUGUCUGUGUUGAGUCGUUGUGAUGUCUUGCAUGUUAGCCAAGUGAGUGUUAGUUUGUUAGUUUUGUGUACGCAUGCUGCCAAGUUGCACUUUGUAAUGAAGUAGAUGACUUGAUACUUUUGG
rnacentral:lncRNA from 1 species